CAGCCGCGUAAUUCCAGCUCCAAUAGCGUAUAUUAAAGUUGUUGCAGUUAAAAAGCUCGUAGUUGAAUUUCGGGAUCAAAUUGUCGGUCGUGCCUCGGUACGCACUGGUAUUAUUGGUUCCUACCUUCUGAAGAACCGCGAUGUCAUUAAUUUGGUGUCGUGGGGAAUCAGGACUGUUACUUUGAAAAAAUUAGAGUGUUUAAAGCAGGCUUACGCUUGAAUACAUUAGCAUGGAAUAAUGAAAUAGGACGUUUGAUUCUAUUUUGUUGGUUUCUAGGAUUGACGUAAUGAUUAAUAGGGAUAGUUGGGGGCAUUAGUAUUCAAUUGUCAGAGGUGAAAUUCUUGGAUUUAUUGAAGACUAACUACUGCGAAAGCAUUUGCCAAGGAUGUUUUCAUUAAUCAAGAACGAAAGUUAGGGGAUCGAAGACGAUCAGAUACCGUCGUAGUCUUAACCAUAAACUAUGCCGACUAGGGAUCGGAUGAUGUUAAUUUUUUAAUGACUCAUUCGGCGCCUUACG
rnacentral:misc_RNA from 1 species